CUCUUGUUUUAAAGAGAGAGAAGGGAAGACAGUUCUAGCAGCAGACUCCUCAUCUCCACUUCACCUUGCCACUGGGUCUGGGAGAGAUUGGUUCAUUGUCAAGGAGAUUUUUUUUUACCCAUGAUUCCAUAUGGUAUGGACCGGACUACAUGUUGCCCCACAUGCCACUGCAAAUGUUUUCUCAAUUAGGUGUCUUAUCUCCCGUGAGUUAGCAUCAGAUGAAGCUUGCUGACAGCGUAAUGGCAGGGAAAGCUUCCGACGGCUCCAUCAAAUGGCAGCUUUGCUACGACAUCUCGGCCAGAACUUGGUGGAUGCAAGCGUGAAUUCUUCCAGGGAGUGAAAAGAAAAGUUUGCUGCCAGGACAAUGAAUGUAUUAUCCGUUCCUAACUGGACCGUGAACUUCAGCUCAUUUCACAUAGAUAUCAGUUUAAGAAAAGGAGAGUGUGUGUGAUGUUGAAGGGGGAGCCUGGCGAAUGGAAUUACAAAACAGGGCAUGGUGGCACUGUAUGAUCUACAGAAAAAGUACUCUCCCUUCCCGGACAAACGGUGCUGUCAUUUUGGCAAGACGUAGGAAUUCGGAAGACUGAGACUAUUAAAAGUGAACUACUGCAGGAUUCUAUUCGUCUGCUGCCUGGGAUUCAGUAUGUCCAUCCCAAGGACUUGAGUAAAAGUAGUUGUGGAAGCCAUCAUGUGCAAGUCUACUUCCACAAUGGCUGGCAGCUUCGUGUUCGUGGAAACCCCUUGCCUGUGUUUGCCUGAAUUCAUGUCGUGAGCCGAAUUUCCCAUUUCAACUUUUGAAUGCUAAUUGUCAACUGAACAACUUCUCCAAAUGCCCGUUUUCUGCAUGCCCUCGAAGAUAAUGCCUAAUGAAGAUUUUCCUAGGAAUUGGCACCAGCCCUUUCAACAUAAUGACUGAAAUAACUUAGAAAUUGCCAAAUAAAUGAAAAUAAUUGCAAUAAAUGAAAAGAUUCAAAACGAACAGAACCGGGUAAUAAUAAAGCACAAGACAGUCUCAGUACCUGGGCUAUUUUUAGGAAAGUCCAUGGCAAACCUAUUUAUAGACCUUGAAUUGGAUGCAUUUACAUGCUCUUUUAAAAUAUAUUUAUACAGCAAGUGGCUUGAUCUGAGCUAAUUAUCAAAUGAUCAGCUUUAAGUAUCAGCCACCCUUGUAAAUAUACGUAACCAUAUCAUGUCUAAGAAUAUCCACCAAUCUCAGAUGUUUCUAUGCCCUCCAAACAUUCCUUUUCUCUCAGUAAUAGAUUCUAAGAAAACUCCAAAUGAGGGAGGGUUGGGCUUUUUUCUUCCACAUACAUUAAGAAUGUAUCCUUAUCGUUUUCUCUGAGGUCAGCCCUGUGCAACUGCUUUUCAAAUGCAAUUCACUGUUCUUAGAGAGAAGCAAAUACAUUAGACUAGGUCCUUUUUUUCUCCUUAAAUCUAAUUAGGAUCCAAAUGUGCUUCAUUCGGAAAUGUGAUUGGCUGCUUAAGCUAGCCUCUACUCUUCUGCUAUCGUUCUAAAAAAUCUUGAUUUCCUGUUGUUACGGUCAUGUUUCUCCUGUGAACUUUAGACAGUGAAAUAAAUGCUUUGUCCUUCCUUA
ensembl:lncRNA